rnacentral:rRNA from 1 species
ACGGGAGGCAGCAGUGAGGAAUAUUGGUCAAUGGGCGGAAGCCUGAACCAGCCAAGUCGCGUGAAGGAUGAAGGUUCUAUGGAUUGUAAACUUCUUUUGUUCGAGGGUAAAGUGAGUCACGUGUGGCUUAUUGCAAGUAUCGAACGAAUAAGCAUCGGCUAACUCCGUGCCAGCAGCCGCGGUAAUACGGAGGAUGCGAGCGUUAUCCGGAUUUACUGGGUGUAAAGGGCGCGUAGGCGGGGAUGCAAGUCAGGUGUGAAAUCUAUGGGCUUAACUCAUAAACUGCACUUGAAACUGUAUCUCUUGAGUGCUGGAGAGGUAGAUGGAAUUCCUUGUGUAGCGGUGAAAUGCGUAGAUAUAAGGAAGAACACCAGUGGCGAAGGCGAUCUACUGGACAGUAACUGACGCUGAGGCGCGAAAGCGUGGGGAGCAAACAGGAUUAGAUACCCUGGUA